UACGGAGGGGGCUAGCGUUGUUCGGAAUUACUGGGCGUAAAGCGCGCGUAGGCGGACCUGCAAGUCGGGGGUGAAAGCCCGAGGCUCAACCUCGGAACUGCCUUCGAUACUGCGGGUCUCGAGUCCGGGAGAGGUGAGUGGAAUUCCUAGUGUAGAGGUGAAAUUCGUAGAUAUUAGGAAGAACACCAGUGGCGAAGGCGGCUCACUGGCCCGGUACUGACGCUGAGGCGCGAAAGCGUGGGGAGCAAACAGG
rnacentral:rRNA from 5 species